rnacentral:rRNA from 1 species
AGUGAACGCUGGCGGCGUGCCUAAUACAUGCCAGUCGAACGGAGAUUAAGUAGCUUGCUAUUUAAUCUUAGUGGCGCACGGGUGAGUAAUAUAUAGCUAACUUGCCCAUUACUAAGGGACAACAGUUGGAAACGACUGCUAAUACCUUAUACUCCGUAUCUAUAUAAGUAGAUACGGGAAAGUUUUUCGGUAAUGGAUAGGGCUAUAUCGUAUCAGCUAGUUGGUAAGGUAAUGGCUUACCAAGGCUAUGACGCGUAACUGGUCUGAGAGGAUGAUCAGUCACACUGGAACUGAGACACGGUCCAGGCUCCUACGGGAGGCAGCAGUAGGGAAUAUUGCUCAAUGGGGGAAACCCUGAAGCAGCAACGCCGCGUGGAGGAUGACACUUUUCGGAGCGUAAACUCCUUUUCUUGGGAAAGAAUUAUGACGGUACCCAAGGAAUAAGCACCGGCUAACUCCGUG